rnacentral:rRNA from 1 species
UGGGGAAUAUUGCACACUGGGCGCAAGCCUGAUGCAGCCAUGCCGCGUGUAUGAAGAAGGCCUUCGGGUUGUAAAGUACUUUCAGCGGGGAGGAAGGCGAUAAGGUUAAUAACCUUGUCGAUUGACGUUACCCGCAGAAGAAGCACAGGCUAACUCCAUGCCAGCAGCCGCGGUAAUACGGAGGGAGCAAGAGUUAAUCGGAGUUACUGGGCGUAAAGCGCACGCAGGCGGUCUGUCAAGUCGGAUGUGAAAUCCCCGGGCUCAACCUGGGAACUGCAUUCGAAACUGGCAGGCUAGAGUCUUGUAGAGGGGGGUAGAAUUCCAGGUGUAGCGGUGAAAUGCGUAGAGAUCUGGAGGAAUACCGGUGGCGAAGGCGGCCCCCUGGACAAAGACUGACGCUCAGGUGUGAAAGCGUGGGGAGCAAACA